rnacentral:rRNA from 1 species
AUUGAACGCUGGCGGCAGGCCUAACACAUGCAAGUCGAGCGGAGCGGCGGACGGGUGAGUAAUGCAUAGGAAUCUGCCUGGUAGUGGGGGAUAACGUACGGAAACGGGCGCUAAUACCGCAUACUAUCAGAUGAGCCUAGGUCGGAUUAGCUAGUUGGUGGGGUAAAGGCCUACCAAGGCGACGAUCCGUAACUGGUCUGAGAGGAUGAUCAGUCACACUGGAACUAGGACAAGGUCCAGCAUCCUACGGGAGGCAGCAGUGAGGAAUAUUGGACAAUGGGCGAAAGCCGAGUCCAGCCAGGGCGCGUGUGUGAAGCAGGUCUUCGGAGUGUAAAGCACUUUAAGUUGGGAGGCGUUACCAACAGAAUAAGCACCGGCUAACUUCGUGCCAGCCGCCGCGGUAAUAC